CUCGCCUCACGCAGGUACUUGUCGGUCACCUGGCGAAAACGGAACCGGGAAACAUCAGAUUUUCCGCAGCGAAGGCAACAUUCUUCCCUCUAAACAGAGCCGGAUUGACCACUCUGGGAUGAGAUCAUUCUUUUGGGGGGGAGACAAACAAAACAAACGGAACCAAAACAGGACAAGCCACCGGACAGAACGCGCUGGAACCAAGCUGUUGUUGAACGAAACGAAACAAACAAAAGGCACGCACAGCGAGCUUCAGAGACGCGAACGGUUCUACGCCCUCCUGGCAUUCGGACGUCAAGUCCUCCAGAAGUCAAAAGGCACAAGCUUGGCUCUCGUGCAGUUCUUGAACACCAAGAAACGUUCAGGUGGGACUGUGGGAGAGGAAGGGAGCCCAGCUCAAGGAUGGUGGAGGAGCCAGCAGAGGAAGACGGGAGCCGGCGGCACUGACCUUCCUGUUGCUGAGCAGCCAC
rnacentral:misc_RNA from 1 species